GAUGAACGCUGGCGGCGUGCCUAAUACAUGCAAGUCGAGCGAAUGGAUUAAGAGCUUGCUCUUAUGAAGUUAGCGGCGGACGGGUGAGUAACACGUGGGUAACCUGCCCAUAAGACUGGGAUAACUCCGGGAAACCGGGGCUAAUACCGGAUAACAUUUUGAACCGCAUGGUUCGAAAUUGAAAGGCGGCUUCGGCUGUCACUUAUGUAUGGACCCGCGUCGCAUUAGCUAGUGGGUGAGGUAACGGCUCACUAAGGCAACGAUGCGUAGCCGACCUGGGAGGGUGAUCGGCAACACUGGGACUGAGACACGGCCCAGACUCCUACGGGAGGUAGCAGUAGGGAAUCUUCAGCAAUGGACGAAAGUCUGACGGAGCAACGCCGCGUGAGUGAUGAAGGCUUUCGGGUCGUAAAACUCUGUUGUUAGGGAAGAACAAGUGCUAGUUGAAUAAGCUGGCACCUUGACGGUACCUAACCAGAAAGCCACGGCUAACUACGUGCCAGCCGCCGCGGUAA
rnacentral:rRNA from 1 species